rnacentral:rRNA from 1 species
AUGGUGGAAUCGCCGUACCGUCUUCGGCAUCGCCGGCUGAUGGACACCGCGCCCGCAACGGCGGGCGGUGAUCCAGCGCCAGGGCAUGGCUCCAGUGGGAUGCCGAUCAUGGUCUCCAUCCUGGUGGUGGUCAUCAUCUGCACCCUCUUCUACUGCGUCUACUGCUGGAGAUGGAGGAAACGCAACGCUGUGAAGAAGGCUCAUCUAGAGAGGCUGAGGCCGCUCUCCAACUCGGACCUGCCGGUGAUGGACCUGCCCACCAUCGCCGCCGCCACCAACGGUUUCUCCAAGGAGAACAAGCUCGGCGAAGGCGGCUUCGGCCCCGUCUACAGGGGCGUGCUGGACGGCGGCGCGGAGAUCGCGGUGAAGCGGCUGUCGGCUCGGUCGCGGCAGGGGGCGGCGGAGUUCCGGAACGAGGUGGAGCUGAUCGCCAAGCUGCAGCACCGGAACCUGGUGAGGCUGCUGGGGUGCUGCGUGGACAUGGACGAGAAGAUGCUCGUCUACGAGUACCUCCCCAACCGGAGCCUCGACGCCUUCCUCUUCGGCACCAGAAAGACGGCGCACUUGGAUUGGAAGAUGAGGCAGAGCAUCGUGGUGGGGAUCGCGCGCGGGCUGCUGUACCUCCACGAGGACUCGUGCCUCAAGAUCGUCCACAGGGACCUCAAGGCCAGCAACGUGCUCCUCGACAAUAAAAUGAACCCCAAGAUCUCCGACUUCGGCAUGGCCAUGAUCUUCGAGGACGAGGAGAUCGAGGUCGUCAACACCGGCCACGUCGUCGGAACAUAUGGGUACAUGGCGCCCGAGUACGCGAUGGGGGGCAUCUUCUCGGUGAAGUCGGACGUGUACAGCUUCGGGGUGCUGGUGCUGGAGAUCCUCAGCGGGCAGCGCAACGGCGCAAUGUACCUCCAGGAGCACCAGCACACCCUCAUCCAAGACGCAUGGAAGAUGUGGAGCGAGGACAAGGCGGCGGAGUUCAUGGACGCGUCGCUGGCCGGGUCGUACGCCAAGGAGGAGGCGUGGCGGUGCUACCACGCGGGCCUGCUGUGCGUGCAGGAGAGCCCGGAGCUCCGGCCGACCAUGUCCAGCGUCGUGCUGAUGCUCAUCGGCGACCAGGCGCAGCUCCCGGCGCCCGAGCAGCCCCCGCUGUUCGCGAGUCCGAAGAAGUCCCCGGCGUCAGACCAGUCCUCGCUGGCGAUGAGGUCCGAGACGACGUCCAAGACGCACUCCGUCAACGACGUGUCCAUCACCAUGAUCCAGCCACGAUAG